rnacentral:rRNA from 1 species
AUGAACGCUGGCGGCGUGCCUAAUACAUGCAAGUCGAGCGAACGGACGAGAAGCUUGCUUCUCUGAUGUUAGCGGCGGACGGGUGAGUAACACGUGGAUAACCUACCUAUAAGACUGGGAUAACUUCGGGAAACCGGAGCUAAUACCGGAUGAUAUUUUGAACCGCAUGGUUCAAAAGUGAAAGACGGUCUUGCUGUCACUUAUAGAUGGAUCCGCGCUGCAUUAGCUAGUUGGUAAGGUAACGGCUUACCAAGGCAACGAUGCAUAGCCGACCUGAGAGGGUGAUCGGCCACACUGGAACUGAGACACGGUCCAGACUCCUACGGGAGGCAGCAGUGGGGAAUCUUCCGCAAUGGGCGAAAGCCUGACGGAGCAACGCCGCGUGAGUGAUGAAGGUCUUCGGAUCGUAAAACUCUAUUAUUAGGGAAGAACAUAUGUGUAAGUAACUGUGCACAUCUUGACGGUACCUAAUCAGAAAGCCACGGCUAACUACGUG